UGCAAAACCAUAAAAAGGACAAAUAAUAUAAUUGCAGUGAAGAGAGUAAGUAUCAAGAUACCUUUGGCAUGACAUUGGGAAGCAGAAUAAGGACUAAUGGCCUUGGAUUUAGUGAGACAGACUUCAGCAUCCCGCCACAUUGACAAGCUUGUGUAGACAUUGGCCAGAUCAUGCCAUGUAUCCAUUUCUAAACUUCUAUCAUGCUUUCCACUCUCCUGUAACAUAUAAGUUGAAGAAAAGGUAAUAAAAAAAUGCUGAACCAAGGUA